CGGGGCUUAAAGUCUUGUAAUUGGAAUGAUGGGAAUUUAAACCUCUUCCAGAGUAUCAAUUGGAGGGCAAGUCUGGUGCCAGCAGCCGCGGUAAUUCCAGCUCCAAUAGCGUAUAUUAAAAUUGUUGCAGUUAAAAAGCUCGUAGUUGAAUUUCUGCUGCAUCGCUGUGUCCCUUCGGGGUCUCUGCAUGUGGCUUAUUUCAGACGGAGUUUACUUUGUCUGGAUGUUUACUUUGAGAAAAUUAGAGUGCUCAAAGCAGGCUUUUGCCUUGAAUAGUUUAGCAUGGAAUAAUAAAGUAGGACUUUGGUUCUAUUUUGUUGGUUUUAGGUACCAAAGUAAUGGUUAAUAGGAACAGUUGGGGGCAUUCGUAUUUAACUGUCAGAGGUGAAAUUCUUAGAUUUGUUAAAGACGAACUACUGCGAAAGCAUUUGCCAAGGAUGUUUUCAUUAAUCAAGAAC
rnacentral:rRNA from 2 species